rnacentral:rRNA from 1 species
CCGACGGGUGGCUGCAGUGGGGAAUAUUGGACAAUGGGGGGAACCCUGAUCCAGCCAUGCCGCGUGUGUGAAGAAGGCCCUCGGGUUGUAAAGCACUUUCAGUGAGGAAGAACGCCUGGUGGUUAAUACCCAUCAGGAAAGACAUCACUCACAGAAGAAGCACCGGCUAACUCCGUGCCAGCAGCCGCGGUAAUACGGAGGGUGCGAGCGUUAAUCGGAAUUACUGGGCGUAAAGCGCGCGUAGGUGGCUUGAUAAGCCGGUUGUGAAAGCCCCGGGCUCAACCUGGGAACGGCAUCCGGAACUGUCAAGCUAGAGUGCAGGAGAGGAAGGUAGAAUUCCCGGUGUAGCGGUGAAAUGCGUAGAGAUCGGGAGGAAUACCAGUGGCGAAGGCGGCCUUCUGGACUGACACUGACACUGAGGUGCGAAAGCGUGGGUAGCAAACAGGAUUAGAUACCCUAGUAGUC